AACCCUAGAAUCAUCUUUCCUUAACCUCUCUUCACAUCAUCUCUCUCAACCUCUCCCAGAACCGCCACCAGAAUUUGCUUGUGGUGGCAGUUAAUCCCAAAAUCCACCCAAGCCAUCACCUUAUAGUCUAAUCCUUCAUCCUCAUUCUAUAACCACCACUAUUUCCUUCAAAGAAUCACUCAUUCUUUUCCAAUCAAAGAUCUAAGAAUAAAAAUACAUUCUUUUUGAUCUUGUUCCCAUAUUUCCUUCUAUUCCGUUUUCUCUAGUACUAGAGCUUAUUUGAAUCAAUUCAUUUGGAUAAGUUUUCAUUUCAAACCUUCAACUCCUUAUGGAUUUCUAACCUGUGAAGUAUUUGCCUGACUGAGAAUCGGAAUAAAUACUUAUCGGCCAAAAAUGUUUGGCGAUUUGAUGAAGCAAACUCAGGAAGCCAUUUUUUUCUCCUCAAUGCUCCUUUUGCCGUCCUCAUCAUCGUUUGGCGCUUCUGGUUCUAAUUGGCCUUCAUUACCAUAUCCGGUCAAAAGGCAAAAACCUCAUUUAAUGGGUUUUAUAUAACACUUGUUUGAUAUUGUCAGAUCUGGCCGGAGAACGAAACUCCGACGAAGACCCUUGCUCCAACGAAACUCCAGUGAACGAAACCGUUUUGACUAUUCGUUGAUUUUGGCGUUGUAUUGAAUUUUUGCUCCGGUAUUUCAUUGUUGAAACGACGUCCCCCUUGUUCGUGCGAGAAGAGGUUUAGAAGUGAAGGAGACUAAUUAAUUUGAUGUAAUUAAUUCUGUAAUGUCCCAUCAAAAGAUGACACUUGUACUUAUUAAACAAUUUUAAAAUUAUUUUUGUUACUUC